GUCGUUCGAACGCACCCUCUAAUGCAAAGUCGAACCUCGAUUUUAGAUCUGUAAAUUUAGAUUAACGGUAAAGUCUGACCGAACAAACUGAUCGGAAAACGGUGUUCUCAUCUCGUUUAAACGCCGGCGGGUGUAUGAGGAA
rnacentral:lncRNA from 1 species